rnacentral:rRNA from 1 species
CACUUUAUUUGAUUUCCUUCGGGACUGAUUAUUUUGUGACUGAGUGGCGGACGGGUGAGUAACGCGUGGGUAACCUGCCUUGUACAGGGGGAUAACAGUUGGAAACGGCUGCUAAUACCGCAUAAGCGCACGGCAUCGCAUGAUGCAGUGUGAAAAACUCCGGUGGUAUAAGAUGGACCCGCGUUGGAUUAGCUAGUUGGUGAGGUAACGGCCCACCAAGGCGACGAUCCAUAGCCGACCUGAGAGGGUGACCGGCCACAUUGGGACUGAGACACGGCCCAAACUCCUACGGGAGGCAGCAGUGGGGAAUAUUGCACAAUGGGCGAAAGCCUGAUGCAGCGACGCCGCGUGAGCGAAGAAGUAUUUCGGUAUGUAAAGCUCUAUCAGCAGGGAAGAUAAUGACGGUACCUGACUAAGAAGCACCGGCUAAAUACGUGCCAGCAGCCGCGGUAAUACGUAUGGUGCAAGCGUUAUCCGGAUUUACUGGGUGUAAAGGGAGCGCAGGCGGUGCGGCAAGUCUGAUGUGAAAGCCCGGGGCUCAACCCCGGUACUGCAUUGGAAACUGUCGUACUAGAGUGUCGGAGGGGUAAGCGGAAUUCCUAGUGUAGCGGUGAAAUGCGUAGAUAUUAGGAGGAACACCAGUGGCGAAGCGGCUUACUGGACG